GAUGAAGAACGUAGCGAAAUGCGAUAAGUAAUGUGAAUUGCAGAAUUCAGUGAAUCAUCGAAUCUUUGAACGCACAUUGCGCCCAUUAGUAGUCUAGUGGGCAUGCCUGUUCGAGCGUCAUUUCAACCCUUAAGCCUAGCUUAGUGUUGGGAGACUGCCUAAUACGCAGCUCCUCAAAACCAGUGGCGGAGUCUGUUCGUGCUCUGAGCGUAGUAAUUUUUUAUCUCGCUUCUGCAAGCCGGCCCGACGACAGCCAUAAACCGCACCCUCUCGGGGGGCACUUUUUUAAUGGUUGACCUCGGAUCAGGUAGGAAUACCCGCUGAACUUAAGCAUAUCAAUAAGCGGAGGA
rnacentral:misc_RNA from 1 species